UACAGAGGGGGGCAAGCGUUGUUCGGAAUUACUGGGCGUAAAGGGCGCGUAGGCGGCCUUCUAAGUCGAACGUGAAAUCCCCGGGCUCAACCCGGGAACUGCGUCCGAUACUGGAAGGCUUGAAUCCGGGAGAGGGAUGUGGAAUUCCAGGUGUAGCGGUGAAAUGCGUAGAUAUCUGGAGGAACACCGGUGGCGAAGGCGACAUCCUGGACCGGUAUUGACGCUGAGGCGCGAAAGCCAGGGGAGCAAAGCGGGAU
rnacentral:rRNA from 1 species